GUGAAUCAUCGAAUCUUUGAACGCACAUUGCGCCCGCCGGCAUUCCGGCGGGCAUGCCCGUUCGAGCGUCAUUUUAAUUCCUUCCCAGGAGGGAACCUUCUGUUUCUGCAGGGGUUUCUGCCAGGGGUGUUGGUACCGGGCGUCGCCAAGACGGCCGGAGCCUAAAUUUAGUGGCGGACGUGCAGGCGACCCCUAGCGCAGUAGAAAAACUCGCUUAGGAGGCUCGUAGCAGCGGACCACAGCCCAACGCAAAAGCCUUUUUUUGCAACCAAAACUUGACCUCGGAUCGGGUAGGACUACCCGCUGAACUUAAGCAUAUCAAUAAGCGGAGGA
rnacentral:misc_RNA from 1 species